CAAUGGAGGACAAUUGCGGGCGCCGGUAGUUACGCAACAGCGGCGAAAUGCAUAUUUUAAUGGCCGGCAGGAGAGGCACUGCGACGCCUGUGGCGCGCGCAGUCAUAAUUACGCGAAUUGCAAGUUCCGGGACUAUGUGUGCAGCAAGUGUCAGCGUACAGGCCAUUUGCGGCGGGUGUGCCCGGACUGGGGCUCGGCACCGGGAACCGCGGGCCGUGGAGGAGCGCGGGCGCCGGCCCGGCGCGGAGGGGCAGCGGCGGCGACGCCGGCGCGGAGUGCCAUGCAUUUUGGGGUGGCCGAUCACGAACCGAGUGAGGAUUACGGCGGAGACAUCGAGGAAGAAUUACAUCACCUAUGUUUAAAUAACUACCCGGCGAUAUGAGGCGUUGUUCAGCGAUGGACUGGGCCGGUACAAGGGCGGCAAGGCGACCUUGAGGGUGCGGGAGGGCGCAGCACCGGUGUUCCAUCGCGCACGCCCGAUGCCGUACGCGCUGCGCGAGCGCGUGGACGCCGAACUGGACGCCAUGCUGAGCGCCGGCGUCAUCGAACCCGUCGACUGCUCGGACUGGGCGUCACCACUGGUACCUAUUAAUAAGCCGGACGGCUCCCUUAGAAUUUGUGCAGACUAUAAAACUACCUUAAACCCGUAUUUGUUGGUUGAUCGGUAUCCUCUCCCUAAAAUAGAAGAUGUUCUUGUAAAUUUAAAUGGCAAUAUGUACUUUAGUAAAAUAGAUCUUUCACAAGCGUACAACCAAAUUGAACUGGACGAGUCUAAAUGUUAUACGGUUAUUAACACCCACCGAGGGCUGUUUCAGUAUAACAGACUGGUGUACGGCUUAUCAUCUAGUGUAGGAAUAUUUCAGCGUAUUAUGAUAAAUUUAUUGGGUAAUAUACCUAAUGUACAAAUAUUUUUAGACGAUGUAAUUAUCGGGGGCAAAACUAAAUCGGAACAUCUACACGCUUUAGAAGCGGUUUUUCAGCGUUUACUUACUAACGGAUUGAA